AUUUUUUAACAUAGUAUUUAUUAGUAUUUGACAAUUUAAUUUCAUCUUCAAGGGCUAUAUUGUAAUUCUUUUUGUUUCCAUGUUUCUUAGAAAUUUCUUAGAAACACUAUAAUAGAUAUAUAUAUAUAUGUAUGUAGGAGUGAUAAUUAGUAGCCACCAGCUCGAUUUGGAUUUAGGCAUAACAACAACAUCACAUAGUUACUUAUUCUAACCUUCCAAUGUUAGCAUAUAAGUUUUUUUUUUUGUUUUCUUUGUUUUCACCAUCGGUAUUUGGUUCCAACCUCUUCCGAUCACAGUUGCAAGAUGAACGUGAUCUUUCUUAUCAAAUUUAGCGUCACAGUUGCGGGAUCGAACUAUGGUAUUCCUUAUCAAAUUUAGCGUCAAUAACAUUGUACCAUCUAAAUAUUGAUUAAGCUAGUUUUUCUUAAAUCAAGCUAGCAUAAGCUAUUUUGAUUUCUGAAUAAUUUAAUUUUCCUUUAAUUACUUUUUUCUAAGUUCUAAUUAUUUUGUUGCAUGUAAAUUACCUGGGUUGCCAUGGUGACUCUUCAUGAUGUGUGUAAGCCAACUGCACAUCCUCUCCAACCUGCAGUGACACUGCCGAUGCUUUCCUCUCAACAAACCUUUUCAGAAGCAAAUUCGCCGUCGUCUUCGGUGACGGUGUUCGGCUGCCGGCUGCAACUAACUCUUCCGGUGGAGACACGACUGAGCUACUGAAAAUUCCNNNNNNNNNNNNNNNNNNNNNNNNNNNNNNNNNNNNNNNNNNNAUUGAUCCCUCUCACUUUUUGUUCACACAGCUUGGGAUGGGAAAUGAGCAUGGACGGGUGUUUCGUUAUAUAGAGUGGAAGGUAGAGGGUAUUUUGGUCACUACGAGAGAAUAAUUAAAAUAUCGGUGUAUCUAUAAUUCCGUCACUGAUUUUGAUUAGUUAAGUGACAGAUUAAUUAAGUUUAUGUUUGGUUUUUGUUUGUUACACAAAUUAACAGUCACCUACUUAACAGCAAUUUACAAUUGU
rnacentral:lncRNA from 1 species